AAUACGUCUGUUGGUGCCAGGAGUCAUGAUGUUGCUGUGCUCCUAAUCGAAGUCUGAGGGCAAAUCUGUGAUUGAUGGUAUCAGAAAAUAAGAACUGAUUGCGACUAACAGAUAGUGCCAGGGUCAAAAGCAAGCUAGUCACUAACCUUGGUGCACAUUACAUUAACUGAAAUUUCUGUCUAUCUGUUACUGUGUCACUUGGAAAUGAGCAGAUAAAAUUUUACCAUGUUUAAAGAGUGUGUUUCUGUUAGUCUGACCCAAUAGGUAAAUGAAAUUGACUUUGAACGAUCUGGGAGGUAGCCAUUUAUAACUCACUGGUUUGUGUCUCCAUCUGUCUCACCCUCUGUGUGUGUCCAUAGUGAUUUUAAACCCUGGCUGCGGUUUCCUGAAUAAUCAAAAGAUAUUCUGUGCUCCCUCUCUUUUAAUCUGUGUGGGCUUGUGACUGAUUGACCAGUAGAAUAUGAUGAAAGUGGCUGUAGUCAUCAUAUGUGACUUCUGAGGUUAGGUCAUAAAAGGCCAGACAGCUGCACCUAACUACUGAAACACUUUGGAAAUUCUCUGCCAUCAUGUAAGAAGUCCUCCUACCUGAGUUCUGAAUGCUGUAAGAAUGCCUGAGAUACAUAGGAAGCCCCUCGAAGAUAUCCUGGUUUCUAGUCACAGCUCAGAGCAGCCCUCAAGUCAACUCAGCCCAGGUGCCAAGAGUGGUCCUCUAAUUCACUCCCUGAAUGACUUCAGUGUCCUGGAAUCAGCCAGAUAAAAGCCAAGAGCCAGUUAUUCCAUCCAGGUUACUCACAUGGCUGGCACAGGAACCCAGAUGCCUGAAACAUCUAGUGCUGUGCCAGGCUGCAGCCAGGAGCUGGGAUCUCCAUCUGGUCUCCUGUGUGGGCACAGCCACUGCUGUCUUCCAAGGAUGAAGGAAAGAUGAGAAGAAGAGCAGACAUCUGGCCUUUGCAUUCAUGGACUACUGAACCAAUGACAUCUGAACUUCUUGCUGUGGGAGGAAGAUAAGCCCCUACUCAGGCACCUCACUGUAAUUUGGAGUUUUCUCUUACCAGCAUUCAAAGAAUCUAACUGAUAAAGCUGUUGCCAUUGUAAUGAAGAGAAACCAGAGUAAGACACACAGCAAGACACAAGACAAAGUCAAAGGGUUGCAAUGCUACGCUUUUCUGCACGAGCUUGCCAUGGUCUCAGUGAAGGAUGCCCAGCCAGCUUUGCUUGUCUGCGAGUAGGAAUGAAACAGCUCUGAAGGUCUGGUGGUGCUGGUGGUAGAGGUAUUUUUCUUUUCCUCAGGACUGGACGCUGGUUCUUCUUAGAAGUACACACAAAA